rnacentral:rRNA from 1 species
GAUGAACGCUGGCGGCGUGCCUAAUACAUGCAAGUCGAGCGGUAAGGCCCCUUCGGGGGUACACGAGCGGCGGACGGCUGAGUAACACGUAGGAACGUACCCCAAAGUGAGGGAUAAGCACCAGAAAUGGUGUCUAAUACCGCAUGUGAUCCAAGGAUUAAAGCUCCGGCGCUUUGGGAACGGCCUGCGUAAGAUUAGCUAGAUGGUGAGGUAAUGGCUCACCAUGGCGACGAUCUUUAGCUGGUCUGAGAGGAUGACCAGCCAGACUGGGACUGAGACACGGCCCAGACUCCUACGGGAGGCAG